GACGAACGCUGGCGGCGUGCCUAACACAUGCAAGUCGAGCGAAUGAAGUUCCUUCGGGAAUGGAUUUAGCGGCGGACGGGUGAGUAACACGUGGGCAACCUGCCUCAUAGAGGGGAAUAGCCUUCCGAAAGGGAGAUUAAUACCGCAUAAGAUUGUAGUACCGCAUGGUACAGCAAUUAAAGGAGCAAUCCGCUAUGAGAUGGGCCCGCGGCGCAUUAGCUAGUUGGUGAGGUAACGGCUCACCAAGGCGACGAUGCGUAGCCGACCGGAGAGGGUGAUCGGCCACAUUGGGACUGAGUCACGGCCCAGACUCCUACGGGAGGCAGCAGUGGGGAAUAUUGCACAAUGGGGGAAACCCUGAUGCAGCAACGCCGCGUGAGUGAUGACGGCCUUCGGGUUGUAAAGCUCUGUCUUCAGGGACGAUAAUGACGGUACCUGAGGAGGAAGCCACGGCUAACUACGUGCCAGCCGCCGCGGUAACAC
rnacentral:rRNA from 1 species